rnacentral:ribozyme from 14 species
CUGUUGCUCUUUUGAAAAGUUUUUUUUUUUUUUUUUUUUCGCUCCUCUUCCUCU